GAAUAUUACGUGAGGCAUAUGCUCAUAGAGUUUAUAUCCAUAAAUGACACAACAUAUAUUAUUAUAUCUCAAUCAUGGCAGUACAUGAAGCAGGCAUCAACAUGGCAUCCACCAUGAUAUCUUUUAUUGGAGCAACGAAAGAAAAUACACACAAGCACAUAAACAAACUGACACGCUGGUUUGGAUACUCUCGAUGGGAUCCUGUUUUAUUGAACUCGAUGGUGAGACAUAACUUUGGCCUGUGAAAUCUCAGACCAAGCAUAUGCAUUAUUAGUCAUCAAGGGAUGCCAAGAGAGUAUCCCCCUUACAGAAACUGUCACAAGCAUCACCGCAGCGUUUCACAUAGAGCUUCAUCUCUUCAGUGUUGUCAGCUGGUGCCAAAACAGGAUAGUAUGCGUCAAGAACUAACUUUUCAAUUAGUUUACAUGUACAAAUGAAACAUAAAUAUACUCAGAUGGAUUCUAUUUACCUGUGCUGAUCACGUUGUCACACACAGAAGACCUGCAUCCCAAGCUGCAAUACUCAAUGGCGUUUGGUUCAUCUGCCAAAACGAAGUAGAUCUGAGAUAAACAAUUCCUCGGUUACAAUAUGUCGAUGUUUUGUGUAUUGGGAUGGCCUCUAUCAUUCAUUCUCUAUUAGCUAUUUUCACAAUAAUUUUUGGUAGAUGUUUGUUAGCAUUAUGAAAAAUCAUUCAUGUCAAAUCUUAUCAUACAAAACAUCAGCUAACAAAUUCAGAACAGUUUAUUACAGUAUAUUAAUAGGUAAACUUGGAAUUUUGUUAAUUUGACAUUACACAUUUUUAGGAUCACAUCUACUUUGAAAAGGAGAAAGUAUAUAAAUUAGAAGUAGCGAGUUGUCUGUCUUUACCGGAGCUGCGUAGAGAGGCCAAGCCCGCGGGGAGUCGACAAGCACAGAAGUCUGCGCACUGGAACACUGUACUAGGACCGAGAAGGCAAGAAUUGAAGCAGGCCACUUUGAAGGGGUUUGCGCCGCAGUCCACGCCCUCUACUUGCACCUGCUCCAGGACCAGCCCCAGCACGAGUAGGCACACGAUCGCACUCUCCAGACCCUUUUUGCCUCCUCCCAUGGCUAUGGCUGCCGGGCUCUCUUGCAGAAGGCACGAGUACUAAUGGGGGCUUUUGGUUGAAGGACUGAUGAGAUUAGAGUGAGCUCGAUGGGCUCCUGGUAUCGAUUUUUAUACUAGGAGAUGAUGGCCGUGGGAGUGUCUAGAUGAGUACUGGUUGUUGCACGUGAAAAACCAAAGCGCACCGGGGCCAUAGUUUCUUUUCUUCUCCCACACGGGGCAAAAAGUUGGAUCGAUGGCGCGCGGACAAAGUUGGCCGGAGCCGACGACGACGACGGUGACGGUGUUGUGACCUGCACGAAGCUAUCCAGUAGGAUGUUACAUGCAAGCCGGCGAGUUUUUUUUUACUACAUUUCUAUAAAAAUAUACUCGUAUAUACGAUGAAAUGCGUUUUUGACGUGAGCUACACAAACAAAAUAAAGUAAUGUAUUUUGGCACAAGCACAUUUUGUUUAGAUUUUCUUUUGAAACUUUAAAAAUCCGAUUUCACUCUAGCAGGUCCUAUUUUGUUGCAGCAUGCAACUAUGGGGCGGGGUUUGGACAAAAUACAAUUUUUGUCAAAAUGACAUGUGUGCCUGGGAAUAGAGGGGGAGUGCCCGAAAGUGCCUUUCUGCUCCCGAGCUCAUUUGAGCUCGGUGAACAGUAAAAUCGAAAAAAAAAUUCAAAAAAUUCCAUUUUUUUUGUGAGAAGCAUUGACAAAAGUUCUAAGUGCUUGCAAAAAUUCAUCAUGAAAUCACAUUCCUGUAAGGCGUGGCAAAAAAAAAACAAAUUCAGUGCUCCAAAAUGCUUUUGAAAGUAGCAUUUUCAGAGUACCGAUUUUGUUUUUUUUGGCACGCCUUCUAGAAAUGUGAUUUCAUGACGAUUUUUUGCAAACUCUUAAAACUUUUGUCAAUGUUCUCCCAAAAAAAUAUUUGGAUUUUUUUGAACUUUUUUUAUUUAGUUUUGAUUUUACUGUUCACCCGAGCUCAUUUGAGCUCGGGUGCAGAAACUCUGCGUCCGGGAGUGUCGUAUUAUAUGCCAACGAAAUACCUUUUCUUUUUUGUUGGGAACGAUACGUGCAUGCCAGAAAGACAUCUCUUUGCUGUACACAUGUGCAUGACUUUGAGGUUUGAGCUGGCGAUGUAUAUCAAACAACGUGUGACCAAUGUCACCUUGGUUUUUCAUGUGCAAGAUUUGUAGAUUGCUGAUCACGCUUGCCGCGGGAAGUUUUUCGUGUGUAGAUACAUGGCUCUAUAUGACAUCUAAACUAGAGCUUUGUUUUUUCCCCUAUACUACUCCUAUCUUUAACUUUAAGAGAAAAAUAUACUUUUCAUCUCUUAACUCUUGACAAAGUCUAGAUUUAGUCCUUUAACUUUAAAACCAGAUUAGUUGCAUUAUAAACUUUUAAAACCGGUAAUACUAUUUUUUACAAAGAACAAUCCUACCUUGUUUACACGUCCACUGAAUGCACCAUUGUAAAUUACUUUCACUUUUACAAGCAAGGCAGGAGCUCUAUCGAUUUCAUUAAGAGAGAACUAAUUCAGAGUUGACCGGUUUAAAAGAAAAACAAGGCUGAAAACCAACAUGAACCAACACCGACACCAACACAAACAUGCCACCACCACCUUACAUGACCACAAUCUGGAGCGAUAGUAAGCAAGAUUUUCGAUGACGACUUCAAGAAGGAAAAACAAUGCCCGAGAACGCCGUCCUCACCGGCAUCAACCCCCAUCAAUCAAUAAGCUUUCGCAUAGACCCCUGCAUGACCGCCCCGCCAAAAAUUGGGAUAGAUCAAUCCUAGCCAUUAGGUUCCGAUGCCACUCCUCGCCGACCAGUCACAGAUUAGCGUGAAGAAGUACUCUUCGACAAUAUAGGAGGAGGACGCCCAUGGGCACCAACAUCACGGGCAACGACCCCCGACCAAGAACAAGGCUUUCGCCCAGAGUAUUAUGCCUCCCCGCCUCUUAUCCAAGGUAGGGGCCAGGCCCCUGCGAACAUCAACAACGGCGAACCAAACCAAAAGGAAAAAGAAACGCCGCGGCCUCCACAACACCAUGGAGGGCUGCCUGCAUAGGUGUUGGCACCACCACCACCAUUACUACGAGUAGUCUUGAAGCCACAAUGCAGCAACCGCCUCGCCUCCGCGCUGUCGACGAAUGCCAACCUCGCCGCCAACUAACGAUCUAGCCUGCUGCCCGUGCAGCCGCGACCAAAGCACACCAACGACGCCCACCACCAACACCAGUGUGCUACCACUCGCCACGCGCCGCACUGCCGCACCCAUCGCCGCUUCUACGCCGUCCGGUAGAGGAAAAAGUGCAGCUGUGCCGUCACCGACCCCAAGAGGUCACCUCCAAAGACGGAGCAGCAGAUCAGGCGCUGCCCCGAUCUGAGCCCUUUGAGCCGGCGCGCGAGCAACCACCGCCACGCAGCACUGGGGUCUCCCAGACAGAGUUUAUACCCACAGGCAAAUGAUACAACAUACACCAUUAUAUCUCAGUCAUGGUAGUGCAUCAGGGCAGCAACAUGGCAUCCAUCAUGAUGGCUUUUAUUUCGAACAAGGAAUGGACAUACACACACAUAAAACAGGGUGACACACUGGUUUGGAUACUCUCGAUGGGAUCCAAUUUUAUUGAACGCAAAGGUGAGACACGACCUUGCCCUGUGAAAUCUCAGACCAUGGACACGCAUCAGUACGCAUCAAGGGAUGGGAGGCCAGCAUCACCGUUACAGAAACUGACACAAGCAUCAGCACAAUUUUCCACAUAGAGUUUCAUCUCUUCAUCGUCAG
rnacentral:lncRNA from 1 species